rnacentral:misc_RNA from 1 species
UUGACUUAUUGUAUAAGUUACUCAGAGAGGCCAAUGAUGACUAAGAGUUACGGUCCUCUGACGGGUUGCCGAGCCCCCGGGGGGGCCCGGCGCGGCCCCCGGAGAGGGGCCACCCGCCGAAGCAACGGUGAGGUAGGUUCACAAUGGUUGGGAGUUUUUCAACUCUGUAAUGAUCCCUCCGCUGGUUCACCAACGGAGA